AACAUCAGCCACGACAAGCCUAGACAUUCUUCCUUUUCGUCUCUUUAUCUGACUCUUGCAAGCUGAAGUGUAUGAUGGAUAUGUGUCUAAAGAAAGCAGGUAUGUGUGUACAGUCAGGAAUUAAUCUUGAAGGUAUUCUUGCCAUUUAUAAGAAUAUAGAUAAACUCAUAAGACAUUAUGGUAAGAGAAACAAUCUAGUUACACAAGGGCAAGAUCCUUGGGAUAGUCAAGCUCAAUGAAGACUUACUAGCCAAAAGAAUGGUGGACAAGGGACUGGUGAGAUGGGAGGGUGCGAUGUGGAAUCCUUUUCUAAUGUGUAAAAACCCUUUGUUAUAUGAUAUAAACAAACUCAUAGGUCUUCUGGAUGACACAGUGUGCACUGUUAGUAUGUUACUGUGUGCCUUAAAAUAUCCAAAACAACUACCAGGCCUAUCCUAUGCCCAUCUCAGAAGUAAACAAUGGGAUAUUACAAAGGAAUGGGUGCCUACAAUUUGAUUGGCUCAUGGAAUCAACCAGGUCACAAAAUGAGGCAAAGGAAGCAACAGCAUAUGCCUUACUCACGCCCUCCUGAACUCAGACCUUUCAUUACUGUGGAGUCUUGUUUUUUCUUAUAGCUCUGUAUUUGGAGGCUCAGGGUCUUUUUAUUGAUUGCCUUUUGUUUUUCCUGGAUGGAUCACUGCAUGUGCACGAUUAGAGUGUUAUAUCUUUGGGAAGAUUGAUGUUUUAUCACAAUAUAACAUCUCUCUUUGCCUCUAACAGUAUGACUUAAUUACAUAUAAGUAUAGCUAUAUUUUGUCUUUUAAUUAUAUCUCAAUAAAGUUGAGUGAAAAACAUACCACUUUAUAUUGAAUAAAAGAAGGCAUCAAAUAAUGAUUUUUUUUUUAUAUUCAAGAACAGCCAAUCUGAAAUAUGAAGAGAAAAAAAAAUCAGAGAAUGACUGAAGAUGAGAGCUUGCUCAGGAAGAAGAGGGAGUACUCUGAGGGGGUGACAAGUAUGUCUACAAUCAGCAGCUGGUGACACAAGCUCAGGAAGACAGUUGUGCAGAGCAGGAGGGCUGACUCCUGGGGAUAGAAGGUUGCAGGCUGAAGAAAGCUGUUUCAGUUUCAAAGUGCAUCUGGAGAAUUCUCCUUUAGUUUCAGACUAUAAGCUAAUACUGAAGAUAAAGGAGGGGCAUACUAUUUUCCGUGCUACAUUUCUUUCUAAAUAAUCAUUCAAGAAAGUAUAACAAAAUAUCUUUGCCUUUUCAAUCGAGUGGUAUAUGAUGAAUGUCUAAGCUUCUAUUGGAAAUGCAUAUUUGCAUAUUUGAAUUACUUCAACAUUAAUACAGUCAAAAGGAAUGAACAAACUGUGCCAAAUUUUUCAGAAAUCCAAGAGUGUAAGAAAUGAAAAAUAUUUCUUGGAUAUAAUAACUUUUAAAGAGAAUUUGUAAGACAAUUGCAGUGAAACAGUCAUGGUUAAAAGAGAGAUGCCCAUGGGCC
rnacentral:lncRNA from 1 species